AACUACAUCUUUCCUUCGCCGCCGGUAACCAUGCAAGCUAUCCAAUCUUCAUCUCUCCGGCCAUCUCCGGUCGACCCAUUUCUCAAAACCAUACCCCAAUUCACCAAUUGUAAGCCAUUGAGACCCAAAAGAACCCCUUUUAUCUCAGCUUCAUCCACUACAGUUUCAGCCCCAACAAGGGAAAAAGACCCCAAAAAGCGUGUUGUUAUAACUGGCAUCAAUCUGACUCCACCUCCACCUUCUAUUAUGAGUACUGCGGCCUUGGAAAGGUGUAAAAAGUGUAUUGAACUUAUUGCAAACACUCUACAAUUGGAAGGAUUUUAGCGUAAUGAUGCAUUUGUUCAUGCUGACACAGGCGAGGUACUGAUUAUCGAAGUGAAUGCAGUUCCACGAAUGAAUCCUUCCACCGUUUUCAUUCAUCAGGCACUUUCAGAGCAACCUCCCCUGUAUCCGCAACAGUUCUUCCACACGUUGCUUGAUCUGGCAUCAGAGAGAUCUAUGUGAAUAUAAUUAUAUCAGAAGAUUUCAGAAAUACAAACAAAAUUGAAUGAAGAUGAGAUGAACAAAUUUUCAGUCACAAUACUCUUUAUCAAUUAAGGCUAUGACACUUAUCAUGAAAAUGAUACAACCAAAAGGAUGAGUAGAAGAAUCGUCCCUGACAAUCAUAAUAACAGAAAUAUUGCUUGCAGUAAAAUAAAGUUGCUUAUAUGGCCCUUGAUACCAAGCAAGCUUGACACAAAUCACAAUAAAAAUGUGUUGUGUUAGAUAACUUCAAUCACCCUCUUUGUAAAGAACCUAGGUUCUUUUUUAAUCUUUUGAACAAGUUCGUGUUGCUCUUUUAGUUGUGUUGUGUUAUGUUAAAAUGUUGCACGGUAACAAAAGAUAAAAUUUUGUCAAUCCAAGUAUUGCCCUAUACAUACUACUUCUAACAAAAUAUUUUAAUACUGAUUUGAUGUUUUUUAUUUGUU